rnacentral:rRNA from 1 species
AGCUCCAAUAGCAUAUAUUAAAGUUGUUGCAGUUAAAAAGCUCGUAGUUGGACCUCUGGGGGACUGCCAAUGUCCGCUUCGGCGUGCGCAGCGGCGGUCCCCCAUCCUUCUGUUAACGCUUCUUGGCCUUAACUGGCUGGUUGCGGGCUCAGAUAUUUUACCUUGAGAAAAUUAGAGUGUUUCAGGCAGGCUUGCGCCCGAAUACAUUAGCAUGGAAUAAUAGAAUAAGACUUCGGUCUCCUUUGUUGGUUUGAGGGAUUGGAGUAAUGAUUAAUAGGGACAGUUGGGGGCAUUAGUAUUUAAUUGUCAGAGGUGAAAUUCUCGGAUUUGUUAAAGACUAACUUAUGCGAAAGCAUUUGCCAAGGAUGUUUUCA